UCCCUGGCGGUCCAGUGGUUAGGACUUGGUGCUUUCACUGUCAGGGUCCUGGGUUCAAUCCCUGGUCAGGGAA
rfam:Ovis aries breed Texel chromosome 11, whole genome shotgun sequence.